rnacentral:lncRNA from 12 species
AUGACAAGGGACAAUGCAAGAACUUGCUUUGAGGCCUUCUGUUUUUCGGGGAAAUAUAGGCAAGGUCAAGACAAAGGAGAGAAGGGAGACGGGUGGGGGGGCAUUGGCAUUAUCACCCCCACUUCUAUGUUUUUGAGGUUGGAAGAGCACACGGGAAAACCAGAAGGUGUGCCAGGAGAGGUCGUCCGUCUUCCGUUUGUGACUCCGGAGGAAAGGAAGCAGAGAGCCUUCCGGGGUGCAGGGGAAGGGCUCCCAGGAAGCGGGGGCCCAGAGGCCUGCGGGGAAUCGGCCUUCGGUCAUAGGUCGGGGUGGAGGAGUCUACUCCAGAUGCUGCCGGGAGCUCCGGGGAGCACCGCCCUUCCUCUGCAGCUGCACCGUCCUCCCCCAGGCCUUCCUGCCUCCUGCCUUGGCGGCUGCACGAACCUCCCGCCUCUCACCCUCCCACCCACGGCUCCCACCCACGCCGGGCUGACCUCUCAGCUCCCGUCAGCCUCCCCGGCCGACCACUGGCUUCCCUCCAGCGUUUUCCCCGUGGCUCUGCUCUUGCUCACACGGCUCCCUGGGCCUGGGGUGCCCUGUCUCCCUUUGCCUCCCUGGCUCUUCGUGGGGGCGGCGUGCAAACGUUUCCUGGACACAGCCAGGCGUGAAUUGUAGCCCUCGACUCUCCUCUCUUCUUUCCCGUUACUCCACAUGGUGACUCGUUUAAUUGUCCAGGUCCUCUCUGGAGACGAGGCUCCCUGCGGGUGUCCCUGUGUCACUCAUUCUGAUUCUCCAGGGGGGCCUCUGUGUCUGCUCCGGGAUGGACACCUCAUGUGGGCUUGUGGAAAAUAAUUCGAUGGCUUUGAACUUCACUUGCUCAUGUUCACAUUUCCUUCUUUUCACCCAGGCCUUAAAUAGAGCGUAGGUGUGAUUUAUUUCAGAUUCCUUUUUAUGAUCAUUAUUGCUUUCCGACUAGACCCAGCCCUCUGUCCGCCCAGGCAUGUGAUCGUGCGUGGUAAGUGGCUGGUGGGUAAGGGAAUGGAAGACGUUCGUUCUUCAAGCUCCCGAGCUCACCUCAGUGUCUUCUGUCUCACAGAGAUAGGCUGUCAGAGAAUAUUUUUAUCAUCCUGUCAUGCUUAGAAGCCUGGGUCCUUGAUCCAGGUCAUUUCUAAGUCAAAAGUGAUAUAGUUUCCAGAUCCCCGUGCUCAGAGAAAAUCCCUGGCCAGGCCUCCUGCCUCGGGAGAUGUGACAUGUGCAUUUGCAGCACAUCUCACACACCUGUGGGGUGACGAAAGGUAAUUUAACACCUGUGCAGACCCCUCUUGAGGUUCUCCAAGUGGGUUAAUGGGAUGUCGGGCGCAGCUUAAGAGACGAGUCAGAGCCCACUGGCCUCACAGACUGGAAGCACCUCCAGCAACGGGCCCUGCCCCCCGUACAGUUCCGAUGCACAGGGCAGCCCCCACGGGGCUCCCCCAAAGCCAGACCUCUCUGGUAACAGCACCCCUUCUCUGUGGUUCCCUUUGGGCUCCGUUGUGUAGGGCUGUGCUCCAGGUGCUGUGGUAGGCAGCUGUGCCCUGCAAGCACCCAAGCCCAAGACGCAACUGUUGGAGCGGGUUCUCAGAUCUGGGCAUCUGUUAUAAACGAUACCCAAGAUUUUCUAAAGCUGGCAAAAUGA